UCCCUGGAGGACUAGAGGUUAGGCCUCAGUGCUCUAACCGCCGUGGCCCUGGUUCGAUUCCUGGCAGGGAA